rnacentral:rRNA from 1 species
AGAGUUUGAUUAUGGCUCAGAACGAACGCUGGUAGCGUGGAUUAGGCAUGCAAGCGGACGGGAUCCGGAAGGUAGCAAUAUCGGCCGGUGAGAGUGGCGGACUGGGGAGAACACGUGAGCAACUUGCCCGCAGGACGGGGAAAACCGUUGGAAACGACGGCUAAUACCGGAUGCGGCGCGCAUGGGACAUCCCGUGCGCGCCAAAGGGGGCCGCAAGGCUCCCGCCCGCGGAGAGGCUCGCGCACCAUCAGCUAGUUGGCGGGUAACGGCCCACCAAGGCCUACGGUUAGCUGGUCUGAGAGGAUGACCAGCCCCACUGGGACUGAGACACUGCCCAGACUCCUACGGGAGGCUGCAGUCGAGGACCAUUUGCAAUGGGCGAAAGCCUGACAAUGCGACGCUGCGUGGAGGAUGAAGGCCUUCGGGUUGUAAACUCCUGUCAUGGGGGAACAGGCGAGGGGACCCAACACGUCCCUUAGUUGAGUGUACCCCAAGAGGAAGGGACGGCUAACUCUGUGCCAGCCGCAGC